UACGUAGGGGGCUAGCGUUGUCCGGAAUCAUUGGGCGUAAAGAGCGUGUAGGCGGCCCGGUAAGUCCGCUGUGAAAGUCGGGGGCUCAACCCUCGAAUGCCGGUGGAUACUGUCGGGCUUGAGUGCGGAAGAGGCGAGUGGAAUUCCUGGUGUAGCGGUGAAAUGCGCAGAUAUCAGGAGGAACACCAAUUGCGAAGGCAGCUCGCUGGGACGUAACUGACGCUGAGACGCGAAAGCGUGGGGAGCAAACAGG
rnacentral:rRNA from 1 species